rnacentral:rRNA from 1 species
UACGGAGGGUGCAAGCGUUGUCCGGAAUCACUGGGCGUAAAGGGCGCGUAGGCGGCUCAUGAAGGCUGUGGUGAAAGUCCGGGGCUCAACCUCGGAUCGGCCGUGGCGACUCGUGGGCUGGAGCACUGUAGAGGCGGGUGGAAUUCCGCGUGUAGCAGUGAAAUGCGUAGAUAUCGAGAAGAACACCGGGUGGCGAAGGCGGCCAACUGGACGGUGACUGACACUGAGACGCGAAAGCGUGGGGAGCAAACAGG